rnacentral:rRNA from 1 species
UACGUAGGGAGCAAGCGUUGUCCGGAAUCAUUGGGCGUAAAGCGCGCGUAGGUGGCUUCGUAAGUCCGUUGUGAAAGUCAAAGGCUCAACCUUUGAAAGCCGAUGGAUACUGUGAAGCUAGAGUACGGAAGAGGCGAGUGGAAUUCCGAGUGUAGAGGUGAAAUUCGUAGAUAUUCGGAGGAACACCAGUGGCGAAGGCGGCUCACUGGUCCGGUACUGACGCUGAGGUGCGAAAGCGUGGGGAGCAACAGG